CCUACGGGUGGCUGCAGUGGGGAAUAUUGGACAAUGGGGGCAACCCUGAUCCAGCCAUGCCGCGUGUGUGAAGAAGGCCCUCGGGUUGUAAAGCACUUUCAGUGAGGAAGAACGCCUGGUGGUUAAUACCCAUCAGGAAAGACAUCACUCACAGAAGAAGCACCGGCUAACUCCGUGCCAGCAGCCGCGGUAAUACGGAGGGUGCGAGCGUUAAUCGGAAUUACUGGGCGUAAAGCGCGCGUAGGUGGCUUGAUAAGCCGGUUGUGAAAGCCCCGGGCUCAACCUGGGAACGGCAUCCGGAACUGGCAAGCUAGAGUGCAGGAGAGGAAGGUAGAAUUCCCGGUGUAGCGGUGAAAUGCGUAGAGAUCGGGAGGAAUACCAGUGGCGAAGGCGGCCUUCUGGACUGACACUGACACUGAGGUGCGAAAGCGUGGGUAGCAAACAGGAUUAGAUACCCUGGUAGUC
rnacentral:rRNA from 1 species